AAGAAAGAAGGAAGACAAAGAAAGAAAGGAAAUAAACCUGAAAAUUACAUCAAGGGAAAAUGAUGCAUGAAGUUAUUGAAUGCUUAGUGUUACAGAUGCUGUUCCCAUGGAGAUCAUUCCCAGCAACGGCACAGUCUCACCCAAGAAACGGACUCUGACUUGAGUCCUUAUCUUACUUUUGUUCAUGAGAAGAAUUUGAAUGGCAUGUGCCAACAGAUGUGGUUUGAAGCAGCCAGAAGACACACCAAACAAAUUCAACUUCUUCCAGGUCUACGACGAGCACUGGCCUUUUGCCUCAGGACUCUUGUGCUUUCCCCUCUGCCUGUGAGUGCCUCCUUUCCCUCAGACUGUCCAUCUUGACCUUGUUCAUUUACACUCAUUCUCCAGGCUUCAGAGAGUCACUCUACCCAUCUCCUAAAAACGACUUUGUGCCCUUUCUGUGGUAUUUAGGAGAUUUAAAUACUGUACAAACUCAUCACUCUCCCCAAUUCUUUGUUCAUGCUAUCCCUCCCCCUAGUAUCAUGUAGACUCAGAGGGAAGUUGGCCUGCCUUGCACACUCUGUAGUUCAGCACCCAGCACCAUAUGUACCACGUAACAGGCACUCAAAACAUGUUUAUUAAAUGAGUUCAUAAAGAGGACGAUGGAGUGUGUGCUCUGAGGGACUCAAGUCCAUGAGACUUCACAGGAAGAAUAUCAGACUGUGUCAGAAUGCUUUGCAAACAUGCCUCGCUUCCCUUUCAACUUGUAGAGCGAGCUCUGGGAAACUUUUUUUAUGCUAGCUUAAAAGUCUUAAAGUCUAUUUUCUCAAAGGCUUGCGGGAUUAAAAUCAAGCAUCUAGUGUCCUGAGAGAUCUCAGUAUUAAGUGACUUAUUUCUCCCUGUAGGAGAAAUUGCUGAUGGGGCUGUGAGAUAACCAGAACUUCAAGACUCAGCUAGGAUUUUGCACAUCCUUUGUUGGGGCAUUCUUCCAAUCUGCUUGCCACAAUGGAUACUGUUUAAGAGGAACUUAUCCUAGAGAAACUGAUAUAGAAGACUAUCAAGUCUAAGCAGAGACCCCCAUGCUUGCUUUUCCCUCUGCAAGGGGUUUGUGGUUCUGCAUAGAUGUACAAACUCCUAUGCAAAAAAAGACCUCUUUCAAGAAGGCUCCACCUAUGGUGAUCAAAGAAAUAAAGGCAAUUUAUGUUUCCAUUUUCAAGUCUUCUAAGUAACACAUAUGAAGUGUCGCAGGCUGGAAGGAAGCCAUGACCUCUCUCACCUCUUAAGUGUCUUCGGUGCCUCAAGAAACUCUUAGGGUUACUACAUUACUCCUAGAAUUUCUUCAGAAAGUGAAUGUUAUGUACACACAGAUGUUCUCACUUCUAGUACAAGCCUGGGUCUCUUUUCACACAGCUUGCCAAUAUGCUGGAUCUUUUCCACCAAAAUAACCCACACUGAAUAAAGCAAAAUUGUAGAUCCAGAGGCAGGACACUUCUGUCAGCACCCUGCACAGAAAAGUGUCCUUACCUAGUUCUGGAGUUGCGCUGUAAUACACAAAGGAACUGGAUAUUGGGUCUUCAGCAACCCACUCAUGUGUUGCGGAUGGAUGGAACCUGGGGCUCCAUACCACUAAAAUGAACUCUUGCAAGUAGGUCCAUACUAUUGGGGGAAAAAUCCUGCUGGAAGAUAAUGCAUCUGUACCCGUGAAACUGAGACUAUAUGCUGAUGAGAACUUGAGCUGCUCUGUCGGAACAUGGUCCAACAAUGGCGUUGUGGUAGGACAAUUCCGAGUGCUUGUGAGAAAACUCCAAGAAACCAAGACAAAAGUCUUGCCACCUGUUACUUCCAAAACAUGGAAUUGUUCUUGGAUUAUGCUUUCAUGGCCCUCUAAGCCCCAUCUACAGAGAUUUACCACCUGUGAUCAUCACAUAGAAAGAGAAUCCUUAAGACUCUUUGCUACUCAUGAUCUUGAGAAACAGGAAGAUUCUACUAAAAAUACCCUGAGGUGCUGGAGCACAAGCCUGGGAAACAUAAGAAAGUUUGGGUAUCAGCAAGGAGACACCAGUGUGUAAAGGCAUCACCACAUGAAUGGAGCUACAAGAGAUGGCAAAUUCCAGUACGUUUCAGGAAGGAGCUGAGUCAAUGUUUCAUGUGCAGUUACACAUACAGGCUGACUUUUCACAUCCAGAAAUGAUCUAAAUAUGCUUCGUGGGAUUCAAAAUCAGCAUCAGCUCCUCUUAGCAAAAAUCGCUUUCAUCUCUCCAAGAGCUGCUUCUGUGGAAUGUGUGGUCAUUCUUUGCUAGAAGGCAUUUGGGGAAGCCACAUCAGCCUAAAUUCUCAUGAGAAUUCCUCUUGCCUGUCAGAUACUUUAUCUUCAAAGAAUGGCACUUGACUGUUACGGGAUCCCUCCAUCCUCCAUGACAAAAUGAGAAAGUAUACAUUGGUGUUUCAACUGCUUCAGUUAUUGAGUAGCAACCAUAUGUGUCACAGAAGCCAGAGCAAAUGAAGUUCAAUGUUAAAAGAAAACUUGUUGCAAAUUGGGAGUUCUGAGUUAGAACUUGAAAAACGUGUUGCUAUCAGAAAGAGAUGCCUUCUUAUGCACUAUAUACCAUGAGUCAAAACCCUGUCCCCAGCAGGCCCCAAAUUACCCAUGAUAUGAGGAAUGGCUGAUGAGAACUGGAAUAAAACACAUCCCCAUCUAUUGAAGGUACGUCCAGGUGAAUGUCCACUCAUCGUCAGGGAGCCAGGUUCCUGUAGCAUCUAAAAAAGGGAGACAACGAGUAUUUGCUUUGGGAAACAGGACUGAUUUUCUCUUCUGCAGCAUAUCAGCUUCCUGAACUUACUGACCUGUAACCAUCUACACAUUUGUCCUUCCAUUCCCUCUAACACCUUUGUCAGCAGUUCCCUGUGACAAACUGUUUCUCUUAAAGUACCUAGAAAGCAAUUGUUUUCCUAAGACAGAACUGCCUUCAUAGAAUUCUAAGAAGAUGGAAUCAUUUUCAGUCAUAUCCUGGAAGUAAAUCUCUGGAAGGUGUCUGUCUGUCUUUG
rnacentral:sRNA from 1 species